UCACCAGAUUCCAGGGGAGAAGAUGAGAAGAUGGGGGGCGGGGCGGGGAGGAGAGGCGAGGGUUAGGGGGAGUGGGUCUCAACCUUGGGCUGUAAAUCGAGGUGGUGCCAGCUUAGGGCGUUGGCUGGGGUGGAAGAGAGGGCAGGGCGUGGAUCUGCAGAGGGAGGGACCGGUGAGCUUGGGUGGGAGGUCAAGGCCUGAGCUCAGUUUUGGCGAACCCGGGAUGGAGGCCUGUGCACCCGGCUGCGGGGACCCUGCAUCCUGCCUCUCUGACUUGGACCAGAGACAUUGGGAAAACUUUUUCAGACUUGCUUGGUGCCGGGAGUGGAUAUUUCGGAAGGACAAGAAUUUGGACGCGUAUCAAGAUGCUCUGAAGAACAGCAACAACCCUUUGAGGGACUACCGCUUGAACAUCAUGACCAAAGACAACAAAUGUGUUGUUAGAAUCUUUAAUUUUGUUUACAUCGUGACCUUAAUAGUUGGAACCAUAAUCCAAUUCUCUGAUGAAAGUAAAUUUGCAGUAGACAUGUCAAAAAUAGGCCUUACUCAUGUUCUGAAAGACUUGCCACCAGAAACCAAGGUCUUAGACAUGUCUCAAAACUGCAUAUCUGAGCUUCACCUGUCUGACAUGAGCUUUCUCUCAGGGCUGAAAGUCUUGAGACUUUCCCGUAAUAGCAUCCGGUACCUUGAUUUUAGUAUUUUCAAGUUCAACCCGGAUUUAGAAUAUUUGGAUUUAUCUCACAAUCAGUUGCAGAAGAUUUCCUGCCAUCCUAUCAUGAGUCUCAAGCAUUUAGAUCUCUCAUUCAAUGACUUUGAAGUCCUGCCCAUUUGUAAGGAAUUUGGCAACUUGACUCAACUGGAUUUCUUGGGAUUAAGUGCUACAAGGUUACAGCAAUUAGAUCUGCUACCAAUUGCUCACUUGCAUCUAAGUUGCAUCCUUCUUGAUUUAGAAGGUUAUUAUGUGAAAGAAAACCAGACAGAAAGUCUUCAAAUUCCAAAUACAAAAACACUUCAGCUUGUUUUCCACCCAUAUAAUUUAUUCUCUGUCCAAGUGAACAUAUCACUUAAUAGUUUAGGGUGCUUACAACUGACUAAUAUUAAAUUGAAUGAUGACAACUGUCAAGUUUUGAUUAAAUUUUUGUCAGACCCCAUUAGACAGCCAACCCUACUGAAUAUUACCCUCAACCAUGUGGAAACAACAUGGAAAUGCUUGGUUAGAGUUUUUCAAUUCCUUUGGCCCAAACCUGUAGAAUCUCUCCAUAUUUGCAAUUUAACAAUAGUUAAAAGCAUUGGUAAAGAAGAUUUUACCUAUUCUAAAACGGCAUUGAAAGCAUUGAAAAUAGAACAUAUUACAAACAGAGUUUAUAUUUUUUCACAGCAAGUGUUGUACACAGUGUUUUCUGAGAUGAACAUUAUGAUGUUAACCAUAUCAGAUACACCUUUUAUACAUAUGGUUUGUCCUCAGGCACCGAGCACAUUUAAGUUUUUGAACUUUACCCAGAAUGUUUUCACAGAUAGUAUUUUUCAAAACUGUUCCACUUUAGUUAGAUUGGAGACACUUAUCUUACAAAAGAACGAAUUAAAAGAUCUUUUCAAAGUAGGCCUCAUGACUAAGAAUAUGCCAUCUUUGGAAAUACUGGAUGUUAGCUGGAAUUCUCUGGAAUAUCAUGGACCUGAUGGAAAUUGCCCUUGGGUUGAGAGUCUAGUGGUGUUAAAUUUGUCUUCAAAUAUACUUACUGACUCUGUUUUCAGAUGUUUACCUCCCAGGAUCAAGGUACUUGAUCUUCACAAUAACAGAAUAAGGAGCAUCCCUAAAGAUAUCACCAGCCUGGAAGCCCUGCAAGUACUCAAUGUUGCUUUCAAUUCUUUAGCCGACCUUCCUGGAUGUGGUGCCUUUAACAGCCUUUCUAUACUGAUCAUUGACUAUAAUUUAAUUUCCGACCCAUCAGCCGAUUUCUUCCACAGUUGCCAGAAGAUUAGGUCAAUAAAAGCAGGGAACAAUCCAUUCCAAUGUACGUGUGAGCUAAGAGAAUUUAUCCAAAGUAUAGGCCAAGUAUCAAGUGAUGUGGUAGAGGGUUGGCCUGAUUCUUAUAAGUGUGAGUAUCCAGAAAGCUAUAAGGGAACCCCACUAAAGGACUUUCAUCUGUCUCAAUUAUCCUGCAACACAGCUCUGCUUGUUGUCACCAUUGUGGUCCCUGUGCUGGUGUUGGCUGUUACUGUGAGCAUCCUCUGUAUCUACCUGGAUCUGCCCUGGUAUCUCAGGAUGGUGUGUCAGUGGACCCAGACCCGGCGCAGGGCUAGGAACAUACCCUUAGAAGAACUCCAAAGAACUCUCCAGUUCCAUGCUUUUAUUUCAUACAGUGAACGUGAUUCUGCCUGGGUGAAGAAUGAACUAGUACCUUGCUUAGAAAAAGAAGAUAUACGGAUUUGUCUCCAUGAGAGAAACUUUGUUCCUGGCAAGAGCAUUGUGGAAAAUAUCAUAAACUGCAUUGAGAAAAGUUACAAGUCCAUCUUUGUUUUGUCUCCCAAUUUUGUUCAGAGUGAGUGGUGCCAUUAUGAACUCUACUUUGCCCACCACAAUCUCUUUCAUGAAGGAUCUGAUAACUUAAUCCUGAUCUUGCUGGAACCCAUUCCACAGAACAACAUUCCCAGCAAGUAUCACAAGCUCAGGGCUCUCAUGACACAGAGGACUUAUUUGGAAUGGCCCAAGGAGAAGAGCAAACGUGGACUUUUUUGGGCUAACAUUAGAGCUGCUUUUAAUAUGAAAGUAGCACUAGUCAUUGAAAACAAUGAUGUGAAAACUUAAAAAACAAGUCAGGAAACCAAACUUAACUUAAGAAACCGUCGACUUGAAAUCUGAUGAACUCUAUGGUUUUAAGUUAUUGUCUGGAUUGUGCCUCCAUUAUCUGCACGGGUUCAGUAGUGAAAACUGUUUGAACUGAGCUGGGGAACCAUGCUGGAGGACGAGGUGGUGCUCAAACUUGCCAAUUACAGAUAGCUCAGUCUCUUCUGGUUUAACCACUCUGUUUCUCAUUCAAACAGUCUCUUUCGAGUAAGUGAUCAGUCAUUCAAGGACCUUUCCUCUCCUCUCUCCUCUCCAAAAUGGAUUCUGUGUGAGCAGGAGUUUAUGGCACUUCAUGGCGGCAAGGAAAGAAUCAACCUCAGAACAGUAUGCAGUGGUCCCUGGAGUGUCCUAUGGUUCCUCAUUGGCCUCUGGUGGCCUGGGGACAUCCAGAAUAUAGAGAAGGCAGAGAAGAUGGAGGAAGAGUAAAGAAACUGACCACACUCCUUCCCCACUUCACUGCAAGAAAGGCCUGAGCAGGGGCCAAGCAGAAGUUUGAAUUAGGUGUGAGACUGAUGUUAAAUUGGACUGACGUGGACAUUUUAAUGCCUGAAACACAGGUGCAAUUACUAAAAUGAGACAUGUCACUAAAAUAUAUGGGACCUGCCCAAGAUUCAGGCUAGAUCCUAAACAGAUCCUGACAGGGGGAGGUUCAACAAAACCUGACUAUAAGACAGUGGUUAGAGAGAAAGAUAAAGCCCUUUCUUUCAGGACUUAGCUCAUUCCAUAAACCAGUUUCAUAAUUAAUAAUGGUAAAGAAAUGAGCCUUAGUGAAAUCUUAUCAGAGUCAUCUGGCUGCGCUAGCCCUUCCUUGUGCUUCAGGAGAGGACUUACUUUCCUUCCCUUUAUGAAAUGGUAAAUUUCCUCAGCCUCUGUUAGACUGUUUCCUAAACAAAAAUAACAACAAUGAUGAAGCUCAGCAAACAAUCACAAACUGUGUCACACACUCUAAACGAUCAGAUGUUUUAAAAUUGUUUCAGUGUUGCCCACAAAAUAUUGUUGAUAUUGAACAUAUAGAAUUUUGACAUUUUAACAGAAUUUCACAAAGCCUGCAGUUUUUGCUUCAUGAAAACACACGCAUUUCAGACAUGAAGAUUCUAUUGUAAGAGAUCAAUUUCUUUUUUAGAUAAAGAUUUUUUAUCUCCAGGAAUCCUCUUUCCUCUGUUGAAUUCUUCUGGUUGCAAGUAGCAGAUAUCAACUUGAGAAAGGGGGUGUUUAUUUGGAGGAUACAGAGGUGUCUCAAAGAAUUCAAAGGCGGGGACACAACUGAGCUCCAAGAAGGUUGGGAAGCAGAGAUGGUGAACCACUCAAACUUUCUCACUAUCUCCACUCUCUCCACUCCAGACCAAUUAGCUGUUUGGGGGUAAGGGCAGGGAUAGAGGAGUGAGGACUGGGACAGCCUGCCUCAUGACCAUUAUCGAGAAGGCUGGAAGUCCAGGAGCAAAAUGCCAGUAUGUCUGGUUUCUCCUGAGGCCCCUCUCAUUGGGAACAGACGGCUGUCUUCUCCAUGUCCUUAGAUGGCCUUUUCUCUGUGUGCACACAUCCCUGGUAUCUCUUCCUUUUUUUGUAAGGACGUAUUGGACUAGGGCCCCACACUUAUGACCUCAUUUAACCCUAGUUACCUAGGUUACCUAGUUACCUCUUUAAAGUCCCCAUCUCCGAGUAUAGUCACAGUCUGGGGUACUACAGGGUUAGGGCUGCCACAUAGGAGUUUUGGAGGGUAUGCAAUUCAGCCCAUAACAGAUGUCUAUGCAGAUAAACUGAAGAUGUUGUGACACACGUUGUGAGCUGUCGCCAAUAUCCAUUCUCCCUUUAUUUAAUACUAGAAUGCACGAAUUUUAUCAGGGCACCUCACAACCCAUCUAGAGACUACAUUUCCCAGUCUCCCUGGCAGCUUGAUGUGGAUGCGUGACUAAAUUCUGAGCAAAGGGAUGUAGCUGGAACCUAAGUGCCACUCUGAGUCCUGUCUCUAAGAAAGAUGAGUAUGGAUUCCUUCGCCCAAACGACCUUUCCACUGUCUAAGAGAUAAGAACUGGAGGAGCCAUCUAGAACCUGGAGAUGAAAGCCUCCUGUUGAUGAUGUGCUCCUCAGUCUAACAUUUUGUGCUGCCCAUGCCAGCCUCUCCCCAUGUCCUGGACUGCUCACCUCUCUUAUGUGAGAGAAGUAAAUUACCUUGUUUAUGCCACUAUACUUUGGCUCCCUUUGAUACAGAAUCUUUGUCUGCACCCUCAUGAAGACAGACAUUUACAACCCACAGAUGUUGGUCCAGCCGUUGAACAUUUCCUGGCUACGUACACCUAUCACGAGAGGAGAGUGUGCAUGUUCCACUGUGCAACCUGGAGCAGAGCACACACCAUCCUGACCGAGCCACCAAUACCUCUCACCUGUACGACUGCAGUAACCUCCUAACCGGCCUCCUUGCUCUUACUCUUUUUUUUCUUUUUGAGGAAGAUUAGCCCUGAGCUAACUGCUGCCAAUCCUCCUUUUUCACUGAGGAAGACUGGC